ensembl:lncRNA
CUUAAUCCUGCUGGCUUUGCCUUGUAGUCACUAGACCUUGUUACACUCCUGUCUGAUAGGGGAAACGAGUCUCCUUGAGGAGAUGCCUGAAGGGCGGACAAGUCAGCUCUCAACGAUCUCCUGGGGAAACAUAGCAGAUGUAACCUCUUAAGUCUCUUCCUGUUAGAGAGCAGCCCCAUGAAAGAAAUUCUCCCUCUGCUCAGGGGGAAGCUUAACCUCCCUUUUGCUAUCCUUAUUUUGCUGAAAACUUCCUUCCUGGUUCUUUUCCCUGAAAGAAAGAAAGUGGCUUCUGGAUUUUCAUUCUGCUGGGACAGCUAUGGUGGCAUGAUGACUCUCAUUUCCUCUCUUCCCUUUUCAGUUUCUUCCCCAUGUCUUUUUUUUUUCUUUUAUUUUUUUUUUCUUGUUAACCUAAAUGAUGUUUUCAGUGCUUUUUGCUAUAACCUAUCUAAUGCAAGUGAAGCAGUCGUGGCCUGCCUCUUGAGAUGAUGUUACAACGUUUUCAGGGAUAUUACAGUGUGUUAUAAAUCUUAUAUGUUUCAAAACUGUUUGUCAGGUAUAGAGCUCCCAUUUAUUUUUAACUGUCUCUCAUACAGUUUGUCUCUGCUUUUGUUCUUCUCACAUUCACUCAAUCUGUGGCUUCUGACAUCACCUAAAUCACCCCAGCCAGAAAGUACAAGAAGAGGUUGGGGAUCAGAUUCAGGCAUCUCUCAUUUCUGCCAGGUCUGUCCCAAAAGUCUGGGGAGUCUUUGAUCCCCAGUCAGUCAGUCAGUCAGCAUUGUUUGCUUGUGGUUCCUGCACACCUAGUCCAACACCGGAGUGUGACGUGCAGAUACGAUUGAGGUGAGGCCAUUCACUCUUGGCUUGACUUAAUGGAUGUUGUCUUCCUCUUCUUUUCUUCUUUGUCAGGAAUCAUAUUAAAGCUCUGUAGCGUUGAUUCCUUUUCAGACUGAGCCUUAUGAGGGUGGAGAGUGAUAGGACAAGGGGGAAUGGUUUUAAACUAGGACAGGGGAGGUUUAGAUUAGACGUUAGGAGGAAGUUUUUCACACAGACGGUGGUGAUGCACUGGAACAGGUUGCCCAAGGAGGCUGUGGAUGCCCCAUCCCUGGAGGCAUUCGAGGCCAGGCUGGAUGUGGCUCUGGGCAGCCUGGUCUGCUGGUUGGCGACCCUGCACAUAGCAGGGGGGUUGAAACUCGAUGAUCAUUGUGGUCCUUUUCAACCCAGGCCAUUCUGUGAUUCUAUGAAUCAGUCUUAUCAUUGUGGGAAGCUAU